rnacentral:rRNA from 1 species
ACAUGCAAGUCGAACGAAGUAGCAAUACUUAGUGGCAGACGGGUGAGUAACAUGUGGGUAUCUACCCUUUGGCCUGGAAUAACACGAGGAAACUUGUGCUAAUACCGGAUAAGUCUUUACGGAGAAAGCUUUAUGCACCAUUGGAUGAGCCCGCACUUGAUUAGUUUGUUGGUAGGGUAAUGGCCUACCAAGACUAUGAUCAAUAGCUGAUUUGAGAGGAUGAUCAGCCACAUUGGGACUGAGACACGGCCCAAACUCCUACGGGAGGCAGCAGUGGGGAAUCUUGCACAAUGGAGGAAACUCUGAUGCAGCGAUGCCGCGUGAGUGAAGAAGGCCUUUGGGUUGUAAAGCUCUUUCGUCGGGGAAGAAAAUGACUGUACCCGAAUAAGAAGGUCCGG